rnacentral:piRNA from 1 species
ACCGAUGGAGAAUAAAGAUGGUCUGUAG